rnacentral:rRNA from 1 species
UACGAAGGGGGGCUAGCGUUGCUCGGAAUCACUGGGCGUAAAGGGUGCGUAGGCGGGUCUUUUAAGUCAGGGGUGAAAUCCUGGAGCUCAACUCCAGAACUGCCUUUGAUACUGAAGAUCUUGAGUUCGGGAGAGGUGAGUGGAACUGCGAGUGUAGAGGUGAAAUUCGUAGAUAUUCGGAAGAACACCAGUGGCGAAGGCGGCUCACUGGACCGGUACUGGCGCUGAAGCGCGAAAGCGUGGGGGAGCAAACGGG